rnacentral:misc_RNA from 1 species
AACAUCGCGCACCUGCGGGAACCUGCGGAAGGAUCAUUACAGAGUUGCAAAACUCCCUAAACCAUUGUGAACGUUACCUAAACCGUUGCUUCGGCGGGCGGCCCGGGUCCUUCCCGGCGCCCCUCGGCCCUCGCGGGCGCCCGCCGGAGGUAAACCGAACUAUUGCAUUGUAUGGCCUCUCUGAGUCUUCUGUACUGAAUAAGUCAAAACUUUCAACAAUGGAUCUCAGAUCGGAAGAGC